UCUUCAUUUCGCACACUCUCUCAACCGGUUGAGCGACGAGAGAGUGUGUAAAAUGAAGAGA
rfam:Pristionchus pacificus strain PS312 contig10609, whole genome shotgun sequence.